rnacentral:tRNA from 1 species
AACAAAGAAGCAUAAGUGGUUUGAAGCGGUUGGCUUGAAACCAGCGUACGAGGGUUCGAUUCCUUCCUUUCUUG